rnacentral:lncRNA from 1 species
GAAAUAUUGAAUGACCAAUGUUCCCCUUUAACUGGCUGCUCUGCAUCCUGAUUGAGGAUCAGCACAUUUAUAUCCAAAGGAAAUCACAUCAUGGCUAAAACUAUUUACUGCUACAACAUUGUAAUUAGGAUCCGGUAGCUGGAAUCUUAAUUGCAUCCCUAGAAUUUUCAGCAAGGUAAAACUAUGAUCUCUUACUAUACCCAUGACUGUGGUCAAUGCAUUCCAUUGAUGAGUACUAAAUGCAAAACUUCUCUACCAUGUUACUCAUUGCAUGUCUGUAAGUACAUCAACAACUUUGCUUGAUGAAUUUGAGAUGACAAGAAAUUUCUGAUCGUAUACUGAGA